rnacentral:lncRNA from 1 species
GGCAGGGGCAGAGGAGCGGGCGGAGGGGGAGGUGGAGGCAUCUGCAGCUGGACAGAGAAGUGGUGCUUUGUUUCUCUGUGCCUCAGUUUCCCUCUUGGUAAAAUAGGCAUGGUUCCUCCUAUGGAUGUAAGAAGGACCUAGGAACCUUUGCAAGGGCAGAGGAGUCCGCCCCUCUGGUCUGACUGGGAGACAAGGUGUUCCCCAAUCUGAUGGUGGGGACAAGGUGGCCCAACACAGUGGGAAAAAUAAGGAAACUAAGGAGCUCUCACCAAAUCCCAUGAGGGAGACAGGACUGUCCAAAUCCAAUGAAGAAGAUAAGAAGCUCCAGUCCUGUGCAGCAAGAACGAGUGUCCAGUCUAUAUUUCCAGUCUGCCAGGGGAGGUGCUGUUCUAGGCGCUGAGGAUGCAGCCGUGCACAAGACGGAUGAAAUCCCUGCCCUCAGGGGGCCGACAUUUGCGGAGUAAAUAAAGGAAAGGCCAACAUGAACAGCUGAUUUGGAUACCAUCAAGACACCUGAAAUUUUAGCAUGAGCCAGAUGCCAAGGAAGAGACUCCGGGAGGAUCCUGAGGACCCCCCGGUUGCAGCCAUGUCGAGGCUGAUGCUGAGGAGGACCCCAACUGUCACGAGAAACACCCGUCGAACACAGCCACCCAGCUGGAGACAGAUCAAGAAGCUGUCACAGAUGAUGGAAGAAAACCUGAGGAAAGCGGGACAACCACUCAGAAUGAGUAAUGGUAGCUAUGAUAGUGGUAAUCACCAUUGCCGUGAGUAUUCCUUAAAGAAGGGCUGACACAGAGAACAAUUAUACUUAUUAGGCAUAUUCAUCAAUCUUGGCUGGCAAUAAUGCCUGGAUGUAAUCACUCUAUGACACAGUUACAUGUGCUUUCUGAUCUCAGUAUUUACCAUAACAAAUCUCCUCCUAUAAUUGAGGCAUACUGCCCUCAAAAACCUAUCUGUAACAAAAUUGAACCUGGCCAGAAAAAAUGAACAUACUUGUUUAGGAAGAUUGCAUUGCAGAACAGGCAGAGGUGCUGCACAACGAUUCCUAUGGAAUCAUUAUUAAUUGGUCCCCUAAAGGGAUGUUUAGCUUAAAUUGCACCAACAGGCCCCCCCGCAAAACCUGGCCAUAAACUGGCCCCGAAACUGACCAUGAACAAUAUCUCUGUGGCACUGUGACAUGUUCAUGAUGGCCAUGACGCCCACGCUGGAAGGUUGUGGGUUUACUGGAAUGAGGGCAAGGAACACCUUGCCCACCCAGGGCGGAAAACCACUUAAAGGCGUUUUUAAACCACAAACAACCGCAUGAGUGAUCUGUGCCUUAAGGACAUGCUCCUGCUGCAGAUAAGUAGCCAUACCCAUGCCUUUAUUUCAGCCCAUCCCUUUGCUUCCCAUAAGGGAUACUUUUAGUUAAUCUAAAAUCUAUAGAAACAAUGCUAAUGUUAAUAAAUACGUGGGUAAAUCUCUGUUUGAGGCUCUCAGCUCUGAAGGCUGUGAGACCCCUGAUUUCCCACUUCACACUUCU